GAUGAACGCUGGCGGCGUGCCUAAUACAUGCAAGUCGAGCGAACAGAUGAGGAGCUUGCUCCUCUGACGUUAGCGGCGGGCGGGUGAGUAACACGUGGAUAACCUACCUAUAAGACUGGGAUAACUUCGGGAAACCGGAGCUAAUACCGGAUAAUAUAUUGAACCGCAUGGUUCAAUAGUGAAAGACGGUUUUGCUGUCACUUAUAGAUGGAUCCGCGCCGCAUUAGCUAGUUGGUAAGGUAACGGCUUACCAAGGCAACGAUGCGUAGCCGACCUGAGAGGGUGAUCGGCCACACUGGAACUGAGACACGGUCCAGACUCCUACGGGAGGCAGCAGUAGGGAAUCUUCCGCAAUGGGCGAAAGCCUGACGGAGCAACGCCGCGUGAGUGAUGAAGAUCUUCGGAUCGUAAAACUCUGUUAUUAGGGAAGAACAAAUGUGUAAGUAACUAUGCACGUCUUGACGGUACCUAAUCAGAAAGCCACGGCUAACUACGUG
rnacentral:rRNA from 1 species